GACGAACGCUGGCGGCGUGCUUAACACAUGCAAGUCGAACGAAGAGCGAUGGAAGCUUGCUUCUAUCAAUCUUAGUGGCGAACGGGUGAGUAACGCGUAAUCAACCUGCCCUUCAGGGGGGGACAACAGUUGGAAACGACUGCUAAUACCGCAUACGAUCCAAUCUCGGCAUCGAGACUGGAUGAAAGGUGGCCUCUAUUUAUAAGCUAUCACUGAAGGAGGGGAUUGCGUCUGAUUAGCUAGUUGGAGGGGUAACGGCCCACCAAGGCGAUGAUCAGUAGCCGGUCUGAGAGGAUGAACGGCCACAUUGGGACUGAGACACGGCCCAGACUCCUACGGGAGGCAGCAGUGGGGAAUCUUCCGCAAUGGACGAAAGUCUGACGGAGCAACGCCGCGUGAGUGAUGACGGCCUUCGGGUUGUAAAGCUCUGUUAAUCGGGACGAAUGGUUCUUGUGCGAAUAGUGCGAG
rnacentral:rRNA from 1 species